CCGUCGGCCCCUCGCGACGCUAGGUCGAAAACCCCGCCAGGGCCGGAAGGCAGCAACGGUAUCGAUCGACGCGGGCGCCGAGGCAAGCCGG
rnacentral:SRP_RNA from 4 species